AAAGCGCGCGUAGGCGGCCAGAUAAGUCGGGUGUGAAAGCCCUCGGCUCAACCGAGGUUCCGCAUCCGAUACUGCUUGGCUGGAGUCUAGGAGAGGAGAGCGGAAUUCCCAGUGUAGCGGUGAAAUGCGUAGAUAUCAGAAGGAACACCGGCGGCGAAGGCGACUCUCUGGUCCGUAACUGACGCUGAGUGUGCGAAAGCUAGGGGAGCAAACGGGAUUAGAUACCCCGGUAGUCCUAGCCGUAAACGAUGGGCACUAAGUAGAGGGGUUCUGAUUAUCUCUCUGCCGGAGCUAACGCAUUAAGUGCCCCGCCUGGGGAGUACGGCCGCAAGGCUAAAACUCCAAAGAAUUGACGGGGGCUCGCACAAGCGGUGGAGCAUGCGGCUUAAUUCGAUGCAACGCGAAGAACCUUACCGGGGUUUGACAUGGUAGAAGUAGGAGCCUGAAAGGGUAACGAACGGUAUCCAGUCCGUGACUAUCACAGGUGUUGCAUGGCUGUCGUCAGCUCGUGUCGUGAGACGUUGGGUUAAGUCCCCUAACGAGCGAAACCCUUGUCUUUAGUUGCCAACAGGUCAUGCUGGGCACUCUAAAGAGACUGCCGUCGUCAAGACGGAGGAAGGUGGGGAUGACGUCAAGUCAUCAUGGCCCUUAUAUCCCGGGCUGCACACGUGCUACAAUGGUCGGUACAAAGGGAUGCUAAGUCGCGAGAUGGAGCGAAACCCAGAAAACCGAUCCCAGUUCAGAUUGGAGGCUGAAACCCGCCUCCAUGAAGUAGGAAUCGCUAGUAAUCGCG
rnacentral:rRNA from 1 species